rnacentral:rRNA from 1 species
GACGAACGCUGGCGGCGUGCUUAACACAUGCAAGUCGAACGGAAAGGCCCCUUUGGGGGUACUCGAGUGGCGAACGGGUGAGUAACACGUGAGUAACCUGCCCUUGACUUCGGGAUAACUUCAGGAAACUGGGGCCAAUACCGGAUAGGAAUCCUUGCUGCAUGGUGGGGGUUGGAAAGCUUCGGCGGUUUUGGAUGGACUCGCGGCUUAUCAGCUUGUUGGUGGGGUAGUGGCUUACCAAGGCUUUGACGGGUAGCCGGCCUGAGAGGGCGACCGGCCACAUUGGGACUGAGAUGCGGCCCAGACUCCUACGGGAGGCAGCAGUGGGGAAUAUUGAACAAUGGGCGGAAGCCUGAUGCAGCAACGCCGCGUGCGGGAUGACGGCCUUCGGGUUGUAAACCGCUUUCAGCAGGGGCGAAGCUUGUGGUGACGGUACCUGCAGAAGAAGCACCGGCUAACUACGUG